UUGAUCCCAGCUCAGGAUGAACGCUAGCGGUGCGCCUAACACAUGUAAGUCGUGCGAUCGAGCCGAACUGAGUCUCCUUCGGGAGGCGAUGAUUGGUGACGGAGCGGCGGACGGGUGAGUAACGCGUGGCUAACCUACCCUCUUGACGGGGACAACCACUCGAAAGGGUGGCUAAUACCCGAUAUUGAUUGGAACCGAUGGGUUCCUCUCCAAAGGCGGUCCUGCCGCCGCGAGGGGAUGGGGCUGCGUCCUAUUAGCUAGUUGGUGAGGUAACGGCUCACCAAGGCUUCGAUGGGUAGCUGGUCUGAGAGGACGGCCAGCCACAUUGGGACUGAGAUACGGCCCAGACUCCUACGGGAGGCAGCAGUGGGGAAUCUUGGCCAAUGGACGAAAGUCUGAGCCAGCGACACCGCGUGGGGGAUGACGGCCUUCGGGUUGUAAACCCCUUUUCUGGGGAAAGAAUAAGGACGGGAGGAAAUGCCCGCCCGAUGACGGUACUCCAGGAAUAAGCAUCGGCUAACUCUGUGCCAGCAGCCGCGGUAAGACAGAGGAUGCGAGCGUUAUCCGGAAUUACUGGGCGUAAAGGGCGUCUAGGCGGUUCGGUAAGUCGUUUGUGAAAUCCCUUGGCUCAACCGAGGAGAGUCUUGCGAUACUGCCGGGCUUGGGUGUAGGAGAGGAGGGUGGAACUCACAGAGUAGCGGUGGAAUGCGUAGAUACUGUGAGGUACCCCGAUGGCGAAGGCAACCCUCUGGCCCUACCGACGCUGAAGCGCGAAAGCGUGGGGAGCAAAGGGGAUUAGAUACCCCCGUAGUCCACGCCCUAAACAAUGUUCACUUGGUGUCGGCCGCUUAUACUGGUCGGUGCCGAAGCUAACGCGUUAAGUGAACCGCCUGAGGAGUACGGCCGCAAGGCUAAAACUCAAGAGAAUUGACGGGUCCCUGCACAAGCGGUGGAGCACGUGGUUUAAUUCGAUAUAAACGAAGAACCUCACCCAGGCUUGACAUACUAGUGGUAGAAACCUGAAAGGGGGCCGACCCUGCCUUCGGGUAGGGAGCUAGUAGGUGAUGCAUGGCUGUCGUCAGCUCGUGUCGUGGGAUGUUGGGUUCAGUCCCGAAACGAGCGCAACCCUUGUCGUUAGUUGCCAGCGGGUAAUGCCGGGGACUCUAACGAGACUGCUGGUGAAUAGCCGGAGGAAGGCGGGGAUGACGUCAAGUCAUCAUGUCCCUUAUGCCUGGGGCGACACACAUGCUACAAUGGGGGGUACAAAGGGUCGCAAUCCCGUAAGGGGGAGCCAAUCCAUAAAAACCCCUCUCAGUUCGGAUUGAGGUCUGCAACUCGACCUCAUGAAGCCGGAAUCGCUAGUAAUCGCGGGUCAGCCAUACCGCGGUGAAUAUGUACUCAGGGAUUGUACACACCGCCCGUCACACCAACCGAGUGGGGGGUACCUGAAGUCGCUCUUCUAAGGGCGCCUAGGGUAACUUCCGCAAGAGGGGUGAAGUCGUAACAAGGUA
rnacentral:rRNA from 1 species